AGCGAACGCUGGCGGCAGGCCUAACACAUGCAAGUCGAACGAACCUUUCGGGGUUAGUGGCGGACGGGUGAGUAACACGUGGGAACGUGCCUUUAGGUUCGGAAUAACUCAGGGAAACUUGUGCUAAUACCGAAUAUGCCCUUCGGGGGAAAGAUUUAUCGCCUUUAGAUCGGCCCGCGUCUGAUUAGCUAGUUGGUUGAGGUAAAGACUCACCAAGGCGACGUACAGUAGCUGGUUUGAAAGGAUGAACAGCCACAUUGGGACUGAGACCCGGCCCAAACGCCUACGGGAGGCAGCAGUGGGGAAUCUUGCGCAAUGGGCGAAAGCCUGACGCAGCCAUGCCGCGUGAAUGAUGAAGGUCUUAGGAUUGUAAAAUUCUUUUACCGGGGACGAUAAUGACGGUACCCGGAGAAGAAGCCCCGGCUAACUUCGUG
rnacentral:rRNA from 1 species